rnacentral:rRNA from 1 species
UACGUAGGGCGCAAGCGUUAUCCGGAAUUACUGGGCGUAAAGGGCUCGUAGGUGGCCAACUAAGUCAGACGUGAAAUCCCUCAGCUUAACUGGGGAACUGCGUCUGAUACUGGAUGGCUUGAGUUUGGGAGAGGGAUGCGGAAUUCCAGGUGUAGCGGUGAAAUGCGUAGAUAUCUGGAGGAACACCGGUGGCGAAGGCGGCAUCCUGGACCAAUACUGACACUGAGGAGCGAAAGCCAGGGGAGCAAACGGG